GCCUGCUUGGCCAAGUGGCUAAGGCGCUUCGCUUGUACACCGACACGCGAAGCGUGGCUUUUGCAAAACGAAGAGAUCGCCCGUUCGACCCGGGCAGUAGGCA